UUUAUAUGAGAGUUUGAUCCUGGCUCAGGAUGAACGCUGGCGGCGUGCCUAAUACAUGCAAGUC
rnacentral:rRNA from 3 species